GGCAUACGGCUCAGUAACACGUAGUCAACUUACCCUAUGGACGAGGAUAAUCUCGGGAAACUGAGCAUAAUACUCGAUAGAUCAUAAUGCCUGGAAUGGUUUAUGGUUGAAAUGAUUCGUCGCCAUAGGAUGGGACUGCGGCCUAUCAGCUUGUUGGUGAGGUAAUGGCCCACCAAGGCGAUUACAGGUACGGGCUCUGAGAGGAGAAGCCCGGAGAUGGGUACUGAGACAAGGACCCAGGCCCUAUGGGGCGCAGCAGGCGAGAAAACUUUGCAAUGUGCGAAAGCACGACAAGGUUAAUCCGAGUGAUUUCUGCUAAAGGAAUCUUUUGCAAGUCAUAAAACCACUAGUGAAUAAGGGGUGGGCAAGUUCUGGUGUCAGCCGCCGCGGUAAAACCAGCACCUCAAGUGGUCAGGAGGAUUAUUGGGCCUAAAGCAUCCGUAGCCGGCUCUGUAAGUUUUCGGUUAAAUCCAUGUGCUCAACGCAUGGGCUGCCGAAAAUACUGCAUAGCUAGGGAGUGGGAGAGGUAGACGGUACUCGGUAGGAAGGGGUAAAAUCCUUUGAUCUAUCGAUGACCACCUGUGGCGAAGGCGGUCUACCAGAACACGUUCGACGGUGAGGGAUGAAAGCUGGGGGAGCAAACCGGAUUAGAUACCCGGGUAGUCCCAGCUGUAAACGAUGC
rnacentral:rRNA from 1 species